rnacentral:rRNA from 1 species
UACGGAGGGUGCGAGCGUUGUUCGGAUUUACUGGGCGUAAAGCGUGCGCAGGCGGCCCGUUAAGACAGGUGUGAAAUCCCUGGGCUCAACCUAGGAAUUGCGCUUGUGACUGGCGGGCUCGAGUACGGUAGAGGGGGGUGGAAUUCCUGGUGUAGCAGUGAAAUGCGUAGAGAUCAGGAGGAACACCGAUGGCGAAGGCAGCCCCCUGGGCCUGUACUGACGCUCAUGCACGAAAGCGUGGGGAGCAAACAGG